rnacentral:rRNA from 1 species
UACAGAGGUCCCGAGCGUUGUUCGGAUUCACUGGGCGUAAAGGGUGCGUAGGUGGCUUGACAAGUUUGGUGUGAAAUCUCCGGGCUUAACCCGGAAAAUGCAUUGAAUACUGUAGAGGCUUGAGGUUUGAAGGGGGGACUGGAAUUCUCGGUGUAGCAGUGAAAUGCGUAGAUAUCGAGAGGAACACCAGUGGCGAAGGCGAGUCCCUGGACAACACCUGACACUGAAGCACGAAAGCCGGGGGAGCAAACAGG